rnacentral:rRNA from 1 species
CGUACAAGUCAUCAGUCGGUCCCGUUACCGGCGAGGCUACACACGUGCUAACAAUGGGCGUACAGAGAGCUGCGAUACCGCGAGGUGGAGCCAAUCUCUUAAAGCGUCUCUCAGUUCGGAUUGUUCUCUGCAACUCGAGAACAUGAAGCUGGAAUCACUAGUAAUCGCAGAUCAGCUAUGCUGCGGUGAAUACGUUCCCGGGUCUU